CGUCAAUGGGAGCGCCGCGUUAUGCUAUUUUAAGCUAAGCUUGUAGACUACCCUUUAGAAUGGCUCCGGUAUAGCAACGCUCAAUGGCGCAUGCAAAAGCAUUCAGCAGUCAUCAGACCGGAGCGCAUGUUUAUACUUUUCUGGCGAAAGGGAUCGCAUCGUUUAGCGUUUCCCUGAGGAAUCAACAUCAACUUUCACAGUCUUCUGAAGAUCAGAAUCAAUAUCAGCUUCCCUGUAAAGAGUCUCCCAGUGAGACACAACUCUGAAGUCCAUUUUUCAAUUAGUUUAAUGUAUUUUGCUUUGGAUCUCAUAUGAUCUAUAUGUAGUAAUGCUGUCCAGGUUUCUUCUUUAAAUUCCGGU